rnacentral:tRNA from 1 species
GUCAUGAUAGCUCAAGUGGUAGAGCAGCGGCGUUUCUAGCCGAAGGUCGUGGGUUCGAAUCCCGCUCGUGACG